CAAUCCUACGGGGCGCAGCAGUGGGGGAUAUUGCACAAUGGGGGGAACCCUGAUGCAGCGACGCCGCGUGAGUGAAGAAGUAUCUCGGUAUGUAAAGCUCUAUCAGCAGGGAAGAAGCAAGACGGUACCUGACUAAGAAGCCCCGGCUAACUACGUGCCAGCAGCCGCGGUAAUACGUAGGGGGCGAGCGUUAUCCGGAUUUACUGGGUGUAAAGGGAGCGUAGACGGCAGCGCAAGUCUGAAGUGAAAUCCCAUGGCUUAACCAUGGAACUGCUUUGGAAACUGUGCAGCUGGAGUGCAGGAGG
rnacentral:rRNA from 1 species